AGUUCUUUGUGGAGAAAAUUAACGUACGAAGACCAAGAAACCUUUCUUCAUAAGUCAAAAUAAGGUCGAUUUUUGGUGGAGCAUCUAGCAAAGUAGAAUUAUGAAAUCAUAUUUCCACUUUGCCUCUACUCUAUUGCCCUAUUAAAUCUUUCUCUUUUUGCCUCAAGGACUCUAGGCAAAGAGUGGACACUCAAGGCAAGGAAGGUAGAAUUUAGUAGUUCUAAAUUCUGAUUAGAAGCUGCUCCAUAUUCCUCCGGACACGCAGCCAGUUUACACAACAAUAACACGAUGUUAUAGGAUGAGACUAACUCCUUCACUCCCCACCACCACUGGCUACAAACCUAGCUGGAGUAAAGCAUGAAACCAAGUAGAAGUAGCGAAACGCAACAGAUAGACUGAAGAGAAGGAAUGGUACAGCGUUAUACAUAUUUUCGCAAGUUGUCACUUUUAAUUUUCUUCCCACCGAGACUAACAUAUAUAAAUUCCCCUUCAAUUAAGUUCUUAAUGCGCUAAAGCUUGAAUUUAAAUUCAAUAAUACUAAUAUGGAUUAUCCCUAAUCCACGAAACCUCUUAAAUUCACCUUUUUCAUUUAGUUUCUCUCAGAUAAUUGUUUAUUAUUACUGUUUAAAGCAUUGGCCAUCAGGUAAUGUCAUUAAUGGGUGUCCUGUACAAGUUGGGCCACUAGCCAGACUUUCUCUUUCCAUGUCGAAAUCGGAGGUAGCGACAGAAGAUAAUUGAAAUUCAACUAUCGCAACCUUUCAAUAGUAACUUUGCUACGUCAAGCGUAAGGACGCGAAGUAAAGCGUAAGCAUCUCGACUAUUCCGAAUUGUUCGGUUAAUUUUCACUUCGAAGGGUCAAGGAAGUUGUCAAUUAUGCUCUUAUAGAGGAGGGGAGGGGUGAUUUCUCUCGGAGACCAUAAAUCGAAGUUGACUAAGGGAUAUUUCUGGAGAAAAUCAUAUCUAUUUAUCUAAAGCAUUACGACUUUUUCUUAUAUCUACUAAAUCUAUCUAUAUGAGUUUUUUUCAUAUAUAUCGAUAAUUUUUUUAAAGUUCAUUUACGCUAAAGAUUUUUUUUCUUUUUUUUGGUUCAUGACUUAAUGGAUUUCCUGUCAUACAUGUUCCUCACAAUGAUAUCCAUUACUUUUAUCCAAGAAGAAGAAGAAGUGUAUCUGAAAUAUUAUUUCCAAUUGGACUUGUUCGAUAGCUUUAAAUCAAAACAAAAACAUUUUAUUUGGAAAGAUUGCCAAUUAAACCAAUUGGAAAUUAGAACGGCUUCUAUGAUAAAAUUUGAUUUGUUCAUAUCUUAUAUAUAAUAAACUUAUUUUAAAUUACUUUAUAAAUAAUCAUUAUGUUUAUGUUUUGGUGUUUUUAAUUCGGUCUUAUGGAGUUUUCGGUGGAGGGGGAUGGGGGUUGAUUUAUGUCAGUG
rnacentral:lncRNA from 1 species